UGGGGAAUUUUGGACAAUGGGCGAAAGCCUGAUCCAGCCAUUCCGCGUGCAGGAUGAAGGCCCUCGGGUUGUAAACUGCUUUUGUACAGAACGAAAAAGCUCUGGUUAAUACCUGGAGUCCAUGACGGUACUGUAAGAAUAAGCACCGGCUAACUACGUGCCAGCAGCCGCGGUAAUACGUAGGGUGCAAGCGUUAAUCGGAAUUACUGGGCGUAAAGCGUGCGCAGGCGGUGAUGUAAGACAGUUGUGAAAUCCCCGGGCUCAACCUGGGAACUGCAUCUGUGACUGCAUCGCUGGAGUGCGGCAGAGGGGGAUGGAAUUCCGCGUGUAGCAGUGAAAUGCGUAGAUAUGCGGAGGAACACCGAUGGCGAAGGCAAUCCCCUGGGCCUGCACUGACGCU
rnacentral:rRNA from 1 species